rnacentral:rRNA from 1 species
GACGAACGCUGGCGGCGUGCUUAACACAUGCAAGUCGAACGGAAAGGCCCUGCUUUUGUGGGGUGCUCGAGUGGCGAACGGGUGAGUAACACGUGAGUAACCUGCCCUUGACUUUGGGAUAACUUCAGGAAACUGGGGCUAAUACCGGAUAGGAGCUCCUGCUGCAUGGUGGGGGUUGGAAAGUUUCGGCGGUUGGGGAUGGACUGGCGGCUCAUCAGCUUGUUGGUGGGGUAGUGUCUUACCAAGGCUUUGACGGGUAGCCGGCCUGAUAGGGUGACCGGCCCCGUUGGGACUGAGAUACGACCCGGACUCCAACGGGAGGCAGCGGUGGGGAAUAGUGCACAAUGGGCGGAGGCCUGAUGCAGCAACGCCGUGUGCGGGAUGACGUGCUUCGGGUUGUAUACCGCUUUCGCCUGUGACGAAGCGUGAGUGACGGUAAUGGGUAAAGAAGCACCGGCUAACUACGUG